AAAAAAGUGAUCUAAACAUGUCAACACGAGAUCUAGUUUUGAAGUUCUCAUCGUGGUGGAUUUUUUAUAUGAAAACGAUUUUUCAAUCAAAAUUGACGGUUUGAGCUAUAAAACAUUUUCGAAAUAGUGAGGAUUUACAAUUACAUCAGGUUUUCUGUGCUCUACUGUUUUUGCAUGAGGAGAGAAUGUUGGAGGAGCAAUUUUUACGCCCCGGUAAUUUCCAUGUAAACAUGAUGGUAACUGACGUACCACAUAGGUGAUAACUUACUUAGCCUAGGUCUGGUAACUUUUCACCCGAAAAAAAAUCAUCGAAACAUACCAACAUGGGAUCUAGUUUUGAAGGUUUCGUCGCGACGAAUCUUUUAUGUGAAAAAGGUUUUUCAAUCGGACCAACGGUUUGAGCUACAAAACAUCUUGAAGUUUAAUUUCUAAUGGAAUCUUUGCUGACAUCAUCUUUUUUUCUUAUCUACAUGCAUGCAUUGUUAAUUGGGUUCAAUAGGACGUGCACUCCAUGCAAAACAAAAUAUG
rnacentral:rRNA from 1 species